rnacentral:rRNA from 1 species
GUCCACGCUGUAAACGAUGUGUGCUAGACGCUGGGAAGCCUAGCUUUUCGGUGUCGCAGCUAACGCUUUAAGCACACCGCCUUGGGAGUACGGCCGCAAGGUUAAAACUCAAAGGAAUUUACGGGGCCCGCACAAGCGGUGGAGCAUGUGGUUUAAUUCGACGCAACGCGCAGAACCUUACCAGCUCUUGACAUGGGUAGUACGGUUCCGGGAGACCGGAUCCAUCAGUUCGGCUGGCUACCACACAGGUGCUGCAUGGCUGUCGU